ACUAUCGAUUCGAGUUACAGACAGAUCGAUAGGAGAGAUCUGGGAUCACUACUUCUGGUCGGCGUUCAAAAAAAACCUACAAUACGGGCGGACAUGGCGAGAUCGACUCUGCUAGUGAUCAAGAAUUGCGUCCUUCCUAAAAUCAUGCAGAUAGUCGCAUAAAUAUUUGCAUCUUUCUGCAUCUGAUGCCCAACACACAGCCAACUGGAAACAGGACCAGAGAAGGUAUACCAGGACCUUGGAGUCGCAGAGCGGAAUGUAAUUGCCUCGGAACCACUGACAAUCGUUGGCUCUCCGGAACAUGAUGGAUAAUAAUAUGCACAUAAAAAUGCGCCGCCGAAGUACAAAGGAAGGUCCGUAAGCUGUGCGGCAAAAGGCCUGCUUUGUGCCACUCCCCGAAGGAUGUGUAGUCAGCUUACACACCACCCAGUCGGCACAGGAAACGACGGCACAGGAAACAAAUAAAAAAGAAGCUCGAUAGUAGCUCGGCGAAUGCAAGUGAAAUUAG